CCAGGCUCCAACGACAGGCACGGGCACCCGAGACUCCGCUGGCUGCUCUUGACUCUAUUCCUUGCCCGACACAGACAUUCCCUGUCGAGGGAAGUGUUUGAUUUAUGUUGAGGUUGGAGUGUCGGGAUUUUGCUGACAGAUCUGAAUGAGAUGUAAGCAAACCACAUACCUCUGGCCGGCACAGAAGGGAUGGAAAAGUUGAAGUCAGCCACCUCCAAAGCCUUAGCAAGCUGGUCAUGUCACAAAUUCUAAUAAGCGCUGCAUUCCACACGAGAAACAGGAGAAAUCAGACUCCUGUUAGACUAAGUAGCUGGGGAAUAAUCACCGUGAGCUGUCUCCGUAAAGAACAAGAUCACUUGUGGAAAAGAAACAUUCUUCCUCCAGGCUUUAUGAUCUGCUCCCCUAAAGGAUGGCACAGCCCUUCCUCCCUCCUUGUCCUUUCCAGGACUAUGACUGCCCAUGCGCCACUGUUUGAUUAAAAAG